GUAAACAUAAAUAGCGUGUCGAAGAUGCAAGAGAGAAGCUCAAACUGCGUUUUAAAUCACCGAACAAUCUUCCGUUCACAGCGUGUAAUUCAGCGGUUUUGAUUCUACCAUUCGGAAGGAGGAAUCGUAAAAUCAGGGAAAAUUGCGGGACACCUUCCUUUCCGGAUUCGCGACCCGGAUAGAAACCGCCUUGUGGAAUUCUUCGAUUGGAUCGCGUUUUGCUGACGGUGGAUUGUGAACAGAAAAAGUCUAUCGAAUCGCAAGAUUUAUUGGCGUUUAUUACUAUACGGUUAGCGGAGUUAAAUUGGCCAAAGGUUCAUAUGACACCCACGAAGAUUGACUUUAAGACCACCGUUAAAACGAAGAGAUUAAAAAGGAGUAUUUUAUGAUUAUUCCUCUGAUUUAUUUUGCACGUGUAACUGGAAAUCGCUGUAAAUCCGAGAAGCAGGCGGAGAUAAAGAAUAUACAAGGUGCGACCGAAUAACAUGUACAAGCGGACACGAGGUGAUUCCUUAUGAAAAAAUAAGAACAAAAUGUGGGAUAAAAUUUUUUCAUUUAAGACUUAGUUUACAAGAAAAUCGAGUUUGAAAAUUUAUCAAGUAUACUUGAACACGAUUAAUUCCAGACUAGACAUUAUAAUUUCUUACACAAGAGAGACUCUAUUUAAGAAUGAAAUCACAACAAAACACCCCUCAAAUUUACACCACUACAGGCUCUAUCAAUUUUCUCGAAAAUACAAAGCAAGGUGUCUAAGAGGUAUCCAGUUUUUGCUGAGGCGGCAAAAGUGUUUGAGCCGAAUGUGUUCACCAGCGAUUCGACUAGGAGACGAGUUGCAUAAAAGCGCAACAUUACACCCUCGGGGAGGCUGUGGGAACGCGGCUUGAAGACUUCAUUAUUUUUGAGGGGAGAAGUGCCCUUUCUCGUUAGGGGAUUCCUCGCCCAGGGCGACGCGAGGCCGUCUUGUUAAAAUUCUCCGAACUCCAUAUAACCCGGACCAGGAACCCGUCUUCCUCUUUACCCGCCACCAUCUUUCUUCCUCCUCCAUCGCUCCUCCGGUUCUCGCGUCUUAUUUCGCGGGCCUCUCAGCUAUUCCGCCGCCGAAGACUAAAAAGCUGACGCCUCAAUUUCGCGAUAGACGUUGCUCGCGAAUCGCGCUGGUAACGAUAAUUGCAGCAGACAAUGGUGGAGAUGGUUGGAACCGAGGAGAAAGACGCGAUUGGAAAUUGUUACGCGUACAUAUACCGAAGAUUUUGCAGAGAAUCAAAGAAUAUUCGUAAUGGGAUUUUCUUAAGAAUUAAGCAUUGGGUGUACAAACGAGU